AAGGUACCCACGAAUUUUAAAGUAUCCGAAUCCGAACCCGUGUAAAAUAUGAACUAUCUGAACCCAUCUUAAAUCUGAAUAAAAUAUAUCUUUAACUGCCCAAAUCCUAUUACUAAUACCCACAUGCUACCUGAAACUGACCAAACCCGUUAUUUUAUUAUAUUUUUGCUGGAAAAUGGGAAAAAAAAUCUAAAUGGGUUGGAUAACCAGACCCGAACAUUUUAAAUUCAUGUUUAAUAAACAACUAAACAUAAUACUAAAUAUUAACCAAAGUUUUCAUAAUUCAAACAAACAUAAUACAU
rnacentral:misc_RNA from 1 species